rnacentral:lncRNA from 1 species
CAAAGCCCGCUCCUUCUCCGCCGCUACCUCCGGACUAACCAAAGUCGGGUCACCCGACCCUGACGGAAACAUCUCCGCCGCAACUCCCGGCUGUCCUCGACCAGCUGCAGCUGGUGCUGCCACCAGCCGAUCCACAGUUUCUUAGAGUCGCUACAUUCGCUCCUCCUGGCGCAUGGCAGCCUCCUACUGUCGCUGCACCAUAUCAGCUUGUUGUCUCAUCACUCCAACGAGUGUGGCCAACUGAUCACGAAGCUCUGAGUCUCCGCUCGCGUCGGUUUGCUCAGGGGCACCACUUGUCCCCUCCCGCGCCGAUCUGGACGAAGAUCGCCUACGCGGUGCCAUCGUUUCCUGAAAUAGGACAACUCGAUUAGCUCUCAACCAACUCGGGUCGAACACGAGACCACUAACACAGCUCAAAAGCCAAUCAGGCGAAAGUCAAACAAGGACGUCUAUUCUCGUCACUCGGCUUUAU